GCUACCUACGGGCCAGCGGCGGCGGGAACACGUAUGAUGGUGGCGUUAUUCGGAAUUACUGGGCGUAAAGCGCGUGUAGGCGGUUUGGCAAGUGGGAUGUGAAAGCCCCGGGCUUAACCUGGGAAGUGCAUCCCAAACUGUCAGGCUAGAGUGCGGUAGAGGGAGGUGGAAUUUCCGGUGUAGCGGUGAAAUGCGUAGAGAUCGGAAGGAACACCAGUGGCGAAGGCGGCCUCCUGGACUGACACUGACGCUGAGGUGCGAAAGCGUGGGGAGCAAACAGGAUUAGAUACCCCGGUAGUC
rnacentral:rRNA from 1 species